rnacentral:rRNA from 1 species
AACGCACCUUGCGCUCCCUGGUAUUCCGGGGAGCAUGCCUGUUUGAGUGUCGUGAAAUCAUCAUGGUCAUGAUCUUUAAUUAAUCAUGGCUUGGUUUUGGAGGUUAUGUUGGCUUUUUAUUGAGUAUCAGCUCCUCUGAAAUGCAUUAGUGUGAAUGUUUACCGAGCAUUUUCUCAGUGUGAUAAUUAUCUACGCUGUGGCUUGCUUGGAUCUUAUAAAUGUCAUGCUUCAAACUGUCUGCAUUAGUGGACAAUUUAUUUGACAAUCUGACCUCAAAUCAGGUAGGACUACCCGCUGAACUUAA